GACGAACGCUGGCGGCGCGCUUAACACAUGCAAGUCGAACGGAAAGGCCUGCUUUCCCUUGUGGAUUGCGGGUACUCGAGUGGCGAACGGGUGAGUAACACGUGAGUGAUCUGCCCCCAACUUGGGUAUAAGCCUGGGAAACUGGGUCUAAUUCCCGAUAGGACUGCAGGGUGGUGCCUGUGGUGGAAAACGAUUUUCUAGUGGUUGGGGAUGAGCUCGCGGCCUAUCAGCUUGUUGGUGGGGUAAUGGCCUACCAAGGCGGGGACGGGUAGCCGGCCUGGGAGGGUGGGCGGCCACAUUGGGCCUGAGAUACGGCCCAGACUCCUGCGGGAGGCAGCAGUGGGGAAUAUUGCACAAUGGGCGGAGGCCUGAUGCAGCGACGCCGCGUGGGGGAUGACGGCCUUCGGGUUGUAAACUCCUUUCGACCGCGAGGAAGCCACCUGGUUGGAAGGGUGGUGACGGUAGUGGUAGAAGAAGCACCGGCUAACUACGUG
rnacentral:rRNA from 1 species